rnacentral:rRNA from 1 species
GGGGGGGGGGGGGGGGGGGGGGGGGGGGGGGGGGGGGGGGGGGGAGGGCCGGGGUGUGGGGGGGGGGCGAGGGGGGAACGGGUGGGGAAGCCGGGGGUGAGCUGCCCGUGGCUUGGGGAUAACCUCAGGAAACUGGGGCUAGUACCGGAUAUGAGCGCCGGCUGCAGGGUUGGGGCUGGACAGUUUCGGCGGUUGGUGAUGGACUCUCGGCUUCUCAGCUUGUUGGUGGGGUAGUGGCUUACCAAGGCUUUGACGGGUAGCCGGCCUGAGAGGGUGACCGGCCACAUUGGGACUGAGAUACGGCCCAGACUCCUACGGGAGGCAGCAGUGGGGAAUAUUGCACAAUGGGCGGAAGCCUGAUGCAGCAACGCCGCGUGCGGAAUGACGGCCUUCGGGUUGUAAACCGCUUUCGCCUGUGACGAAGCGUGAGUGACGGUAAUGGGUAAAGAAGCACCGGCUAACUACGUG